UACGUAGGCAGCAAGCGUUUGUUCGGAGUUACUGGGCGUAAAGGGUGCGUAGGCGGCUUCUUAAGUUUGGUGUGAAAUCUCCCGGCUCAACUGGGAGGGUGCGCCGAAUACUGAGGGGCUAGAGUGUGGGAGAGGAAAGUGGAAUUCCAGGUGUAGCGGUGAAAUGCGUAGAUAUCUGGAGGAACACCGGUGGUGUAAACGGCUUUCUGGACCAUUACUGACGCUGAUGCACGAAAGCGUGGGUAGCAAACAGG
rnacentral:rRNA from 1 species